rnacentral:rRNA from 1 species
ACACCGGGGGCAUGCUCAGUACGGCGAGUGAAGCGGCAAGAGCUCAAAUUUGAAAGCUGGCUCCUUCGGGGUCCGCAUUGUAAUUUGCAGAGGAUGCUUCGGGUGCGGCCCCUGUCUAAGUGCCCUGGAACGGGCCGUCAGAGAGGGUGAGAAUCCCGUCUGGGAUGGGGUGUCCGCGCCCGUGUGAAGCUCCUUCGACGAGUCGAGUUGUUUGGGAAUGCAGCUCUAAAUGGGUGGUAAAUUUCAUCUAAAGCUAAAUACUGGCCGGAGACCGAUAGCGCACAAGUAGAGUGAUCGAAAGAUGAAAAGCACUUUGAAAAGAGAGUUAAAAAGCACGUGAAAUUGUUGAAAGGGAAGCGCUUGCGACCAGACUCGCCUCCAGGGUUCAGCCGGCAUUCGUGCCGGUGUACUUCCCUGGGGGCGGGCCAGCGUCGGUUUGGGCGGCCGGUCAAAGGCUCCCGGAAUGUAGUGCCCUCCGGGGCACCUUAUAGCCGGGAGUGCAAUGCGGCCAGCCUGGACCGAGGAACGCGCUUCGGCACGGACGCUGGCAUAAUGGUCGUAAACGACCCGUCUUGAAAACC